rnacentral:lncRNA from 1 species
GUGUGUUCGAAUAGCUAUUUUUCUAAAAGUACUUGACGACAAUCUUUUAAUUUGGAUGAUGAAAAUAUCUUCGAAAAAAUAUGAUUUUCUUGUGUGUGAUAACUAGGGUUUAUAAUCUUCAACCACCGAAAAUGUUUAGUCUGCCCUUCCCCGAAAUAUUUAAUUAGAAUUUUUUUAAAUGCUUAAGAAUUUUCAAAAAUUCCAUCUGACAGACAAUAUUUUUAAGUUGAAUCAAUGCAGACAAGAUCAUUAACUAAUGCUCAUUAGCUAG